CUUGCUUCUUUGCUGACGAGUGGCGGACGGGUGAGUAAUGUCUGGGAAACUGCCUGAUGGAGGGGGAUAACUACUGGAAACGGUAGCUAAUACCGCAUAACGUCGCAAGACCAAAGAGGGGGACCUUCGGGCCUCUUGCCAUCGGAUGUGCCCAGAUGGGAUUAGCUAGUAGGUGGGGUAACGGCUCACCUAGGCGACGAUCCCUAGCUGGUCUGAGAGGAUGACCAGCCACACUGGAACUGAGACACGGUCCAGACUCCUACGGGAGGCAGCAGUGGGGAAUAUUGCACAAUGGGCGCAAGCCUGAUGCAGCCAUGCCGCGUGUAUGAAGAAGGCCUUCGGGUUGUAAAGUACUUUCAGCGGGGAGGAAGGGAGUAAAGUUAAUACCUUUGCUCAUUGACGUUACCCGCAGAAGAAGCACCGGCUAACUCCGUGCCAGCAGCCGCGGUAAUACGGAGGGUGCAAGCGUUAAUCGGAAUUACUGGGCGUAAAGCGCACGCAGGCGGUUUGUUAAGUCAGAUGUGAAAUCCCCGGGCUCAACCUGGGAACUGCAUCUGAUACUGGCAAGCUUGAGUCUCGUAGAGGGGGGUAGAAUUCCAGGUGUAGCGGUGAAAUGCGUAGAGAUCUGGAGGAAUACCGGUGGCGAAGGCGGCCCCCUGGACGAAGACUGACGCUCAGGUGCGAAAGCGUGGGGAGCAACAGG
rnacentral:rRNA from 1 species